GACGAACGCUGGCGGCGUGCCUAAUACAUGCAAGUAGAACGCUGAAGGAGGAGCUUGCUCUUCUGGAUGAGUUGCGAACGGGUGAGUAACGCGUAGGUAACCUGCCUGGUAGCGGGGGAUAACUAUUGGAAACGAUAGCUAAUACCGCAUAACAGUAGAUGUUGCAUGACAUUUACUUAAAAGGUGCAAUUGCAUCACUACCAGAUGGACCUGCGUUGUAUUAACUAGUUGGUGGGGUAACGGCGCAACAAGGCGACGAUACAUAGCCGGCCUGAGAGGGGUGUCGGCCACAAUGGGACUGAGACACGGCCCAGACUUCUACGGGAGGCAGCAGUAGGGGAUCCUCCGCAAUGGACGGAAGUCUGACCGAGCAACCCCGCGUGAGUGAAGAAGGUUUUCGGAUCGUAAAGCUCUGUUGUAAGAGAAGGACGAGUGUGGGAGUGGAAAGUUCACACUGUGACGGUAUCUUACCAGAAAGGGACGGCUAACUACGUG
rnacentral:rRNA from 1 species